rnacentral:lncRNA from 1 species
AGUAAGAUAAAAUUAAUAUGCAUUAUAUGCUUUAAAAACUUGGGACUUGAGUGUUUUGAAUUCCAGAAAUAAUGAGUGUUUUGAAUUCCAGAAAUAAAACAGGACAUUUCUGUAAAUUUUCCAAUUUCUAAGUGAGUAGUGUAGUUAAACAUUGAGUAAGAUGGAUCUCAAGGAGCAUGAAAUAUCCAAGCUUCACUCUUGCUGAUUGGAGGAGGGAGCCAAUUGCAUGGGAAAAGAACAAUUGAGCUAGAUUGAUCUGGCAUUGCUGUUUAAAAGCAUAUUGAGAUUGAAUAAAGAACUUCGAUGAAAUCCUUGAAUUAUUGUUUUUUUUUGUUAUUUUUAGUAGUUUAUAGGUUAGGUUGAUAUUGAGGUAGGUGUUUUCUAAUGUUGGUUGAUUUGAAUGCUAUGCUGCCCUUGAGGAGCAGGCUUUCUACAAUUUUAUGUGGGAAUCUUGUAUGAGACUCGACUAUUUUAUC